ACGUAGGGGGCAAGCGUUGAUCGGAAUCACUGGGCUUACAGCGCGUGUAGGCGGGGUGGCAGGUCUUCUGUGAAAGCCCCCGGCUCAACCGGGGAAUUGCAGGGGAAACCGCCGCGCUUGAGGAAGGUAGAGGUGACCGGAACGUGCGGUGGAGCGGUGAAAUGCGUAGAUAUCACAAGGAACGCCGGUGGUGAAGGCGGCUCACUGGGC
rnacentral:rRNA from 1 species